rnacentral:rRNA from 1 species
GCAGGGUAUAGACCGAAACCCGGUGAUCUAGCCAUGGGCAGGUUGAAGGUUGGGUAACACUAACUGGAGGACCGAACCGACUAAUGUUGAAAAAUUAGCGGAUGACUUGUGGCUGGGGUGAAAGGCCAAUCAAACCGGGAGAUAGCUGGUUCUCCCCGAAAGCUAUUUAGGUAGCGCCUCGUGAAUUCAUCUUCGGGGGUAGAGCACUGUUUCGGCUAGGGGGUCAUCCCGACUUACCAACCCGAUGCAAACUGCGAAUACCGAAGAAUGUUAUCACGGGAGACACACGGCGGGUGCUAACGUCCGUCGUGAAGAGGGAAACAACCCAGACCGCCAGCUAAGGUCCCAAAGUCAUGGUUAAGUGGGAAACGAUGUGGGAAGGCACAGACAGCCAGGAUGUUGGCUUAGAAGCAGCCAUCAUUUAAAGAAAGCGUAAUAGCUCACUGGUCGAGUCGGCCUGCGCGGAAGAUGUAACGGGCUAAACCAUGCACCGAAGCUGCGGCAGCGACACUAUGUGUUGUUGGGUAGGGGAGCGUUCUGUAAGCCGUUGAAGGUGUGCUGUGAGGCAUGCUGGAGGUAUCAGAAGUGCGAAUGCUGACAUAAGUAACGAUAAUGCGGGUGAAAAACCCGCACGCCGGAAGACCAAGGGUUCCUGUCCAACGUUAAUCGGGGCAGGGUGAGUCGACCCCUAAGGCGAGGCCGAAAGGCGUAGUCGAUGGGAAACAGGUUAAUAUUCCUGUACUUGGUGUUACUGCGAAGGGGGGACGGAGAAGGCUAUGUUAGCCGGGCGACGGUUGUCCCGGUUUAAGCAUGUAGGCGGAGAUUCCAGGUAAAUCCGGAGUCUUGUUAACGCUGAGGUGUGAUGACGAGGCACUACGGUGCUGAAGUAACAAAUGCCCUGCUUCCAGGAAAAGCCUCUAAGCAUCAGGUAACACAAAAUCGUACCCCAAACCGACACAGGUGGUCAGGUAGAGAAUACCAAGGCGCUUGAGAGAACUCGGGUGAAGGAACUAGGCAAAAUGGUGCCGUAACUUCGGGAGAAGGCACGCUGAUAUGUAGGUGAAGUGAUUUACUCAUGGAGCUGAAAUCAGUCGAAGAUACCAGCUGGCUGCAACUGUUUAUUAAAAACACAGCACUGUGCAAACACGAAAGUGGACGUAUACGGUGUGACGCCUGCCCGGUGCCGGAAGGUUAAUUGAUGGGGUUAUCCGUAAGGAGAAGCUCUUGAUCGAAGCCCCGGUAAACGGCGGCCGUAACUAUAACGGUCCUAAGGUAGCGAAAUUCCUUGUCGGGUAAGUUCCGACCUGCACGAAUGGCGUAAUGAUGGCCAGGCUGUCUCCACCCGAGACUCAGUGAAAUUGAACUCGCUGUGAAGAUGCAGUGUACCCGCGGCAAGACGGAAAGACCCCGUGAACCUUUACUAUAGCUUGACACUGAACACUGGUCCUUGAUGUGUAGGAUAGGUGGGAGGCUUUGAAGUGUGGACGCCAGUCUGCAUGGAGCCAACCUUGAAAUACCACCCUUUAAUGGCUGGUGUUCUAACGUAGACCCGUAAUCCGGGUUGCGGACAGUGUCUGGUGGGUAGUUUGACUGGGGCGGUCUCCUCCUAAAGAGUAACGGAGGAGCACGAAGGUUAGCUAAUCCUGGUCGGACAUCAGGAGGUUAGUGCAAAGGCAUAAGCUAGCUUGACUGCGAGAGUGACGGCUCGAGCAGGUGCGAAAGCAGGUCUUAGUGAUCCGGUGGUUCUGAAUGGAAGGGCCAUCGCUCAACGGAUAAAAGGUACUCCGGGGAUAACAGGCUGAUACCGCCCAAGAGUUCAUAUCGACGGCGGUGUUUGGCACCUCGAUGUCGGCUCAUCACAUCCUGGGGCUGAAGUAGGUCCCAAGGGUAUGGCUGUUCGCCAUUUAAAGUGGUACGCGAGCUGGGUUUAGAACGUCGUGAGACAGUUCGGUCCCUAUCUGCCGUGGGCGCUGGAGAAUUGAGGGGGGCUGCUCCUAGUACGAGAGGACCGGAGUGGACGCAUCACUGGUGUUCGGGUUGUCAUGCCAAUGGCAUUGCCCGGUAGCUAAAUGCGGAAGAGAUAAGUGCUGAAAGCAUCUAAGCACGAAACUUGCCCCGAGAUGAGUUCUCCCUGACCCUUUAAGGGUCCUGAAGGAACGUUGAAGACGACGACGUUGAUAGGUCGGGUGUGUAAGCGUAGCGAUACGUUGAGCUAACCGAUACUAAUGAACCGUGAGGCUUAACCUU